rnacentral:tRNA from 1 species
CUGUAGCUCAGUGGUAGAGUGCUUGCCUAGAAGGCAUGAGACCCUGGGUUCAAUCCCUAGCAG